rnacentral:misc_RNA from 1 species
AACGGUCUAUACCUGCGGUACCUGCGGAAGGAUCAUUAAAGAAAUCUAGUCGGGUUGUUGCUGGUCUCUCUGUCUAGUCAGGCAAGUGCACGCUCGAUUUUAUUUCGAAACCACUGUGCACCUUUUGUAGACUUGAAUGACCCCUCGGGCAUGAAACGCGGAUUGAGGAUUUGCGCCAUUAGCUCUCCUUGAAAAAUAUGCUCGCACAUGCAUCGGAUCGAGGGAUUGCUUUGAUCGGCU